UACGGAGGAUCCAAGCGUUAUCCGGAUUUAUUGGGUUUAAAGGGCGCGUAGGCGGCCUGUUAAGUCGAACGUGAAAUCCCCGGGCUCAACCCGGGAACUGCGUCCGAUACUGGCAGGCUUGAAUCCGGGAGAGGGAUGCGGAAUUCCAGGUGUAGCGGUGAAAUGCGUAGAUAUCUGGAGGAACACCGGUGGCGAAGGCGGCAUCCUGGACCGGCAUUGACGCUGAGGCGCGAAAGCCAGGGGAGCAAACGGG
rnacentral:rRNA from 1 species